GACGAACGCUGGCGGCGUGCCUAAUACAUGCAAGUAGGACGCAGUUGCGAACGGGUGAGUAACGCGUAGGUAACUACCUAUUAGAGGGGGAUAACCAUUGGAAACGAUAGCUAAUUCCGCAUACUAGUAGAUGGACCUGCGGUGUAUUAGCUAGUAGGUUGGGUAAUGGCCUCCCUAGGCAAAGAGACCUUGCCGACCUGGGAGGGUGGUCCGCCAACCUGGGACUGAGACACGGGCCAGACUCCGACGGGAGGCAGGAGGAGGGAAACAUCGGCAAUGGGGGGAAACCUUAACGAGCAACGCCGCGGGAGUGAAGAAGGUUUUCGGAUCGGAAAGCUCUGUUGUUUAGGAAGCGGUACCUAACCAGAAAGGGACGGCUAACUACGUGCCAGCAGCCGCGGUAAUAC
rnacentral:rRNA from 1 species